CCAUGUUCAAUGUGUCGUUAUCUCCAUGUUGAUUUGACACUAAAAUCUUUAUGUCUCAACCAUUCACCAAAGUCUGUCUAUUUUAUUAUUACCUUCUAGAGUCAACAUUCGUCCACAAUAUAUUUUGCUAUAUCUACAAGAUCAUUUUGUAACUAGGUUAGUAAUACAAGACUCAUGGAUCGUUUCAUCAAUUUUACAUUAUAUAUUAAGGAAAUAUCUAGAAUUUAAGACGUAUGCGCCUAGUUGGGAAAGGAGAGGACAGAACAUGUAGCUCAGGGGGACAGGGGCAUGCUGGACAAAUCCCAAUGCCAGACCCCAGCCUCGCGCCACAAGGUGCUGUAUUGGUCUGAAAUAUACUGCAUGUAAGCUGUUGUUGUGUUGAUUGUUUAUUUUCCAUCUUGCUUGUCUCUUUUGUUAAACAGUAUUAUAGUUCUGAACUAUAAGUCUUGUCUCAUUUCAUCUGAUGCUUGUCUUCUAAGUCUUUUGAUUCUCAUAUGUGAAACUUGUUAUUUGUCUAAGAUAACUAUGCCUUUAGCCUUCCUUGGUAAUGUUGCAAAUGAAUCAUAGCAUUUUGUCCCUGCAAAACUAAAACACCAGUUAGCUAAAAAAUCUGCAGCGUUGUUGCCUUCUCUGUGUGUGAGCUGAAGCUAUAUGAGACCUCCUUCAAUCAGCUCUCUUAUCUUCCUUCAAAGUCGUAGCCUCAUCAAAUAGACUAGUAGAGUCUGCCAUCCUUCUACAUAGAGCAUAUUGAGUAUCCCCUUCAUCAUUUCUAAUACAAAAUGUUAUAGAACUUGGACCAAGGUUUCCUUUAGAAGCACCAUCUGAAUUACAUUUAAACCAACCUUGAUUAGGUA
rnacentral:lncRNA from 1 species